rnacentral:lncRNA from 1 species
UUUCAACUAGUACUGUACCAUGUGGGAGUUCAAAAUCCUAUAAGGUAAUAACAGAGUCUCAAAGCUUAUACCCAAAUUAGUGUUUUUCUAACCUAUAAUAAAGCACCAUUUCAAACACUGAUAAAGUCCAAACAAGUCAAGCUAGUUUAAUCUCAUUAAUUUCUAUGUUACAUAUUGAAGAAUCAAAUCUACCAUUAAACCACAUUUUCCCCAAUGUGUCUCAAACAUUCACUAUGAAGCAAGAUAAAUUUUGAAGGGUAGGUAAAAAGGGAAAAAGAGAAAAAAAAAUGAAAAGGAAUUUGUAAUGUAAGUGUAUAACAAAUGUAGAAAAAAUCUGCUUUUUAUUUUAAAGUAAAUAAGUAACCAGUCAGAGCAAUUUGGCUUCCUAAAUUAUUAAAUGUGAUGCUCUUAUUAGAACUCACUGUGACUGCAGGUGUUCUGCAGAUACAGUACAAUUCCUCACUGCUGCCCUCUUGUGCCCAUUUACAAUCAUUACAGAUGUACACAUCCAUUUUCUUAGCCUCCUUUUCUGCGAUGCCAACACAUUCUCCAUAAUAGCAGUUAGUACAAAGAUCACAGCCAAUAUAGAACCUAGAAGUAUUCACAACGAAAAUGACAAUGUAAUUGUCGUUUUGAGCUGCAUGGUACUUAAAUCUGUCUUCCCUGCCUUGCUUCAUUUUUUUACAGGAUAACUUCCUGCUAUGAGUCAGCUAAACAUUCCUGAAUCCAACCAUUCUACCCCUGGCAAACUCCAGUAUCUGAUGCUCUAUCACAUGUGCAAACAAAGUCACUCACAUGGGUUUCAACAAGUACACUGCUUAGUGAAAUAUGGGUCUUUAAAAACAUACUGGAAUUUGAAAAAAUAAACCACACACUGAUGGUAAUGUCUUCCUCUGAAUGAAUGUGUGCAAAACUGUAACAGGCACAAAAACCAAAGCCAAAGAAUCAAAGACUUACACCUGUCAAACCUAUUCCACAGAAGCCAUUUCAAUAUCAGGGCUAUUUCUUAGAUAGGUUUAAAAAUGUAUCUCACAAUUUAAAUUUGAAAACAAAGCAAAGCGCAAACACCAAGUAGAAGUUACACUACAAGGACCAUGCAGGUCAGCCAGGUGUAGAAGAUAAACGGUCAAAAUAUGCUAAGAAGAAGAAAACUAAGAAAGGUACAUAGAGCAAUUCAAUCUCUACCAGGUUUUCUGAAUAAACAUUGGAAUUUAAUCGAAUUAAAAAUAAUUUCUCAUAAUGGAAUAUGGCAUGGGCCACUUUUUCAGUUAAUAUAAUGUUUGUGACAAUGUGGGCAGUGGCCUGGCUAGUUAACGGGUAGGGAACGUGGAAGGAGCUGCUUCAGUUCAACAUCGGGGACAUGGUAUGGGGAAGGAUGCAAAGAUAGUUAUCCAGAAUCUGUCUACACUGCUUGGCAGGGUCUACACUGCUUGGCAAGGCGGAGCUGUGUAAGUGUGUGAUUGUGGAGUGCACAGUGGCCUCUGUAAUAAAAGACGUAAUGACAAAAGAAAAAGUAAAUGUAACAAACGCUUAUACAGUGUGUCUACAAGUGUUGAUAGGCACAGUGUAGGAACAUCAUGUCAAAGUCAUAGUGAGAAUUACCAUGAAUCACAGGGAAGCAGGCUGGCUUUGCCGAUACCAUUGGCACUCCUAGCUCUACCAAGGCAUUU